ensembl:lncRNA
CUUCUCCUGAGACAAAAGGCGGAGGACCGGUACGUGGAGGUACUCCUCCUCUUCCCUUGCCCCUGCUUGCCUCUGGGUAGCAAGGGGCAAUGAAUUGGAACAUUAGGGGAUGCCCUAGUUGUAUCUGACUCCUGCUUUGCGCCCCACUGCCCAGGAACAAUCCUGGGGUCAAUCGUCGUCUGACAGCCUGGGACGCGUGAACACGAAUCACGGCUCAGAGGUUCGUUGCUUCCCAGCUGUCCCUGCCCCGAGGAGGAGAGGCGGAGUCAGGGCGUGUGAACCGCGGGGCCGUUCGGGCGAGGUGAUACGGAAGACUGAGAAAGCAAAAAAAUCAUUCUGCCCUUGCUCCUGACCCUUGUCCCUGCCUCCACCUGCCCUCAGCGUACGGCCAGGAGAGGAGGGGCACUCAGCAGCAUGAUGGGAGCCCUUCAUAUUCUCCUCAGCUCCUGACCUUCCAGCUCUGCAGAGACAUUUCGUAUCUCAGUGAUAGUCUGUGGCCCCCACAGCCCCCCAGACCCGACCCCAAAGGCCUGCUGCCUCUCUCUCCCCCCCGACCCACACAGAUGGGCCUGGUGGGCACUGUCAGUGCUGGGAGCCCAGGAGCAGGCACAGGCAGCCUGGCCGGGCUGGGAUCUGCGCUGCUCUGACAGGAGCUCUGUGCUAAUGUCAUGCUGCACAGCAUUCCAGGGACCAGAAGCUGCAUCUCGCGCAGCGGUGAGUGAUGGCAGCGCUGUGUGUGCCCUCCAGGGGGGCCCGGGACAGGCUUGAAAAGCAGCACCGCGUGAACCAGAUGAGGUGCAACACGGCCACGCGCGAGGUGCUGCACUCGGGCCGCCGUAAUCCCG